AGUGAACGCUGGCGGUAGGCCUAACACAUGCAAGUCGAACGGCAGCACAGUAAGAGCUUGCUCUUACGGGUGGCGAGUGGCGGACGGGUGAGGAAUACAUCGGAAUCUACUUUUUCGUGGGGGAUAACGUAGGGAAACUUACGCUAAUACCGCAUACGACCUACGGGUGAAAGCAGUGGAUCUUCGGACCUUGCGCGAUUGAAUGAGCCGAUGUCGGAUUAGCUAGUUGGCGGGGUAAAGGCCCACCAAGGCGACGAUCCGUAGCUGGUCUGAGAGGAUGAUCAGCCACACUGAAACUGAGACACGGUCCAGACUCCUACGGGAGGCAGCAGUGGGGAAUUUUGGACAAGGGGGGAAAGCCUGAGCCAGCCAUACCGCGUGGGUGAAGAAGGCCUUCGGGUUGUAAAGCCCUUUUGUUGGGAAAGAAAAGCAGCAGGUUAAUACCCCGCUGUUCGGACGGUACCCAAAGAAUAAGCACCGGCUAACUUCGU
rnacentral:rRNA from 1 species